rnacentral:rRNA from 1 species
UACGGAGGAUCCAAGCGUUAUCCGGAUUUAUUGGGUUUAAAGGGUGCGUAGGUUGUUUUAUAAGUUAGCGGUGAAAUACCGAUGCUCAACAUCGGGGCUGCCGCUGAUACUGUAGGACUAGAGAUCGGAUGCAGCAGGCGGAAUGUGUAGUGUAGCGGUGAAAUGCAUAGAUAUUACACAGAACACCGAUUGCGAAGGCAGCAUACCGGCGCCCGACUGACGCUGAGGCACGAAAGCGUGGGGAUCGAACAGG